rnacentral:rRNA from 1 species
GACGAACGCUGGCGGCGUGCCUAACACAUGCAAGUCGAGCGGGGUUGAAGCGAGAGGUAACUCGAACUUCUACCUAGCGGCGGACGGGUGAGUAACGCGUGGGCAACCUGCCUCAAGGUUUGGGAUAACAGCCCGAAAGGGCUGCUAAUACCGGAUAUGCCUAUGGCCUCGCAUGGGGCUAUGAGCAAAGGGGAAACUCGCCUUGAGAUGGGCCCGCGUCCCAUCAGCUAGUUGGUGAGGUAACAGCUCACCAAGGCGACGACGGGUAGCCGGCCUGAGAGGGUGACCGGCCACACUGGGACUGAGACACGGCCCAGACUCCUACGGGGGCAGCAGUGGGGGAUCUUGCACAAUGGGCGAAAGCCUGAUGCAGCGACGCCGCGUGAGCGAAGAAGGGCCUUCGGGUUGUAAAGCUCUGUCUGGAGGGACGAACAAAAUGACGGUACCUCCGGAGGAAGCCACGGCUAACUACGUG